rnacentral:rRNA from 1 species
ACGGUAUUGCAAUGAGAACAAUUUAAAACCCUUAGCGAGAAUCAAGUGGAGGACAAGUCUGGUGCCAGCACCCGUGGUAAUUCCAGCUCCACUAGCGUAUAUUAAAGUUGUUGCAGUUAAAAAGCUCGUAGUUGAACCUCUGUCUGGGGCUAGUUUUGGCUUUGGUCAGGCUAGUUCUAGGCAUCCGCCUACAAGACUUAGAGGGCAUUCAGUUGUUCACUAGGAGGAGUAGGCAUUUUACUUUGAAAAAAAUUAGAGUGUUUAAGGCAGGCAAUCGCCCGCAUAUAUUAGCAUGGAAUAAUAGAAUAGGACACUUUUCCAUUUCGUUGGUUAUUGGAAUCGUGUAAUGAUUAAUAGGGACAGUUGUGGGCAUUUGUAUUUAAUUGUCAGAGGUGAAAUUCUUGGAUUUAUUAAAGACAAACUAACGCGAAAGCAUUUGCCAAGGAUGUUUUCAUUAAUCAAGAACGAAAGUUAGGGGAUCAAAGACGAUCAGAUACCGUCCUAGUCUUAACUCUAAACUAUUCCGACUCAAUGUUUGACUGGCUUAUAUAACCAGUUGAGCGUUGUAUGAGAAAUCAAAGUCUUUAGGUUCUGGGGGGAGUAUGGUUGCAAAGCUGAAACUUAAAGGAAUUGACGGAAGAGCACAACCAGGAGUGGAUUCUGCGGCUUAAUUUGACUCAACACGGGGAAACUUACCAGGUUAAAACAAUAGUGGGAUUGACAGUUUGAGAGCGCUUCCUUGAUUGGUUGGGUGGUGGUGCAUGGCCGUUCUUAGUUGGUGGAGUGAUUUGUCUGCUUAAUUGCGUUAACGAACGAGACCUUAACCUGCUUACUAGACUGGCGAUCAUCAAUCGUUAGCUCUUCUUAGAGGGACUUUGGUUGUUUUAACUCCAAGGAAGUUUGAGGCAAUAACAGGUCUGUGAUGCCCUUAGAUAUCCUGGGCCGCACGCGUCAUACAAUGACUAGUUCAGAAAGUUUUCUCCUGACCCGAAAGGGGAUGGGUAAUCUUGAUAAUACUAGUCGUGUUAGGGAUCGAUCUUUGCAAUUAUAGAUCUUGAACGAGGAAUUCCUAGUAAGUGCGGUUCAUCAGACCGUACUGAUUACGUCCCUGCUCUUUGUACACACCGCCCGUCGCUUCUACCGAGUGGGUGGUCCGGUGAGAUAAUUGAACUUCGCAGGUAACUGAGAGGAAAGAUUAUCAAACCUAUCCACCU